UGGUCCUCCUCUGUCUUCCCACCGAUAUACACAUAAACCUACACACUCAAAGUACCCUUGCCGGUGCGUCUCUGCGAGUAACGUAUGCUUCCCAGAAAGACGAAGCGCUCCGCUGCAGCAGCAGAUGCGCCGCCAGCGGCGAAACUGACGCCUACCAAACGCGCCGCAGCCUCCCCAGCAAAGCCGUCCACUAACCGGCCUCCGCGGCCGCAGUCGGUGACGACCCCAAUCAAGAGGAGCUCCGUGGCUGGCGACCCAAGUCUGGCGCCCUCCUCUUCCUCUACUCCGAAGCGGCAACAGCAGCCGCAAGUAUCUCAGCCGCAGCUGUACACCCCUGAAGUGCAGCGUAGCCAGAGCACCGUCAAGCAGGCGCGCGAGAGCUCGUUCGCCUCCUCGCCUCAGGCGAUACCACCCGCCCCCGCCAACAGCCCGGCACCGGCCUCCAGCAGGGCCCCUCAACGACGCUCCUCAGCCUCCCCAAACCAGCAGAGCCCCAGCGAGAAGGCUGCGAGUGCAAAGGCGAACAGCACCGCUGCGGCGGCGUCGACGGCGCUGACAACUUCCGCAUCUCCAGUCUCACCGACUUCGCCGCCGCCAUCGCCCUCCCGGCACGAGAGGCCGACGCCCUUGCGAUCACCGCUGUCGGCGAGCCCCGCGAGGCGGGGCGCCAGCGGCGUUAUGAACAGCAGCACCUCUGCGGGCGCCACGCCGGCGUCUACGGGACCGGGACGAAAAGCUGCAUCGACUGCCGCUGCAGGUGCCGCGAACGUAAACGCCGGCGUUAGCGCUGCCGCUGAAGGGACGGCCAAGUCCUCGAAGUCUGCACGAAGCCGCAGUGUGCGUCGCAGCCGUGCCCGCGCGGCCGUGUCGACAUUCACGUCGGCGACAUCCUCAGCAGAGGCGCACUUCGUCGAGCGCUUCAUACGUGAGUCAAAGGUGAUCGCGCCGGACGUGAGCGGCAUUCUAUGCCUCGCGGUGCAUCCGUCGGAGCAGGAACUCAUCGUUGCGCGUGAGAACGGUUCGCUCGUGCGCUACGACGUGGCGUUUUUCCAGGGCGUUCCGCAGUUUGUACGGCGCCGCCACACGGGCGGCCAGACGCACCGCACCAUUUCAGGACUGGCCUACGUGACUGUCCCGACAUCAGUGUCGUCGUCGUCCUCGGUGUCGAAGUCCGGAGCAGCGUCAGCGGCCCGCCACGUGCUCCUCGCCUCCAUGAUGUCCGGUCAGAUCGUCGUCUAUGACGCGGAGCUGCUCGUUCCCAUUGCGCUGCACCAGCGCAGCGGUGGCGCCAUAUGGGCUCUGCACGCGGUGAGUGCUGCAUGCAUCUACGCCGCCAUGGCAGACGGGAGCUGGCAGCAGCUGCGCCUCACGUGUAAGCGAGACGGCGCGGCCCCACAGCUGGAGCUGGUGCGCGUCGUACCCGGCAUCAGCGGCGCCGACCGUGCCUUGUCUGUGACGACGUCUCUGUCGCUGCGCAUGGCGGUCGGCACCGACGACGCCGGUAACGUACAUGCGUGGCGCUUGCCUGCUGGCGUGUCGUCGCAAGGGUCUUCUGUCGGCGUCGGCGCCGCGGAGGAGGACGACGAGGCUGCCGCUCCCAGCCGUGCACGCGGUUUGGCCGAGCACGAGUCUCUCUGGACCACGAAACUAGCGAAGGGCAUCGCUCUCAGCUGCGCUGUGGUCGGCGGGACGCAGCGCCCCUGUGCUGUUGUCGGGACGUCGAUGGGCGACGUCGUGCUGCUCGAUGCCGCGCACGGACACGUCUUCCAAACCUUCUCGCAGCACAAGGGACCGGUGUCGACGCUGGCGGUGCAGGGCGACGCUGUUGUAUACGCGUCCGGCUGGCACGAGAGCCUUCGGAGCUACCGCUGCAACGAACAGGGCGACUGGUAUCCGGCGGAGGUGAAGCGCCGCACACACUAUCACGAGGCGAGCCAGCUGGCGCUGUUGCCGCAUCGCCGACUGAUCUUGUCUGCGUCGCGCGACGGCACGAUCAUGUACGCGCCGACGGCGCAGCUGUUCACGUUGCCGGCGAUGUACGUGGUGGUCACGACGCAGCAGUUUGCCUACGCGGUCGAUCGCGAGCUCCUCUUGCAAUCCCGCUUCGACACCAUCGAGGUCUUCCACAUGGACAGCGCCGCUCGUCACUGGGUGCCCUUCUUCGGCCACCGUCUCGAUGGCCGCUUCCACCUUUCCGGCCUGUGGUGCGAUCGCCAGCUCAACUACAUCGUCUUCAGCACAGAGGAGCGCAUUGGGUUGCUGAAGGUGGUGUGGCGUGCACAUGCGGCAAUGUCUGUGUCAAGGCUCGAGGCAGUGCUGGAGCUGCCGGCGCGCAGCGGUGUGGUCGACGUCUGCUGGUCGGGUACCGCUGCUGCCGCGGGAUCGGCAGAGGAGGCUAGCGCGGGUGCAAGUGAAGAGACGACCGCAGACGCAUCGGCCUUGUUGCCCGCGUCGCAGCGACUCUACAUCCUCUACGACGACAGCGUCACGUGCGUUACUCUCGCUGACGGGUAUCCGGUCGUGCACACUCCCGUGCAGGUUCGCGGGAAGCGGCUCCCCGACGACUCGCUGCGUCCCUACCGGGUACUGUGCCGUCCAACAGCUGCAGCUUCGCUUACCAGGAGUUGCAGUAGUGGCCCGGCACCUGACGCAACAGAGGACGAGGAGCUUGUCAUCUACGGUCACCGAGGCAGCUGCCGCAUGCGUCUCAUGGCCGAUGGCACCCCCGAAGCGGACUCCCUGGUCGCCGAUUUGGAUGACGUGUACGAGCUGGCGCAGGAGUUGCCGCUGCUGCAGGAUGCGUUGAGCAAGAGGGUCAAUGAUGACAGUCACGAUGGUGUAGAGCGGACACUGAAGAGGGCAAGGGUGGAGGCGUCGGCCUCGUCAGCGCCGGCGAAGGCAAUAUCCUGCGAGGCUCUGAUUGGCUUGUCCACGCUGCGGCAGCGGUACUUCGUAGGCUCAACGCUGCACUCAUCCUCGGCAGCCAUCACACCACUGUCGGCGACGCUGCCACAUGAUGUGCGCUGGAUUGCCCGCAUCGCAGCGUUUUCGUCGAGCAACGGUACUAAGACCACCGCCCAAGCCGUCGCCGCCUCAUACAGGUACCUUGGCUACUUCAGCCGUGGUCUCCUUGUCGCUACGGGGGAUAGCUGGCACAUGGUGCGCCGCAUGUGCGUGGAGGCUGCCUUCCUCAUAAAGGGUGGCACGGAGGUGUUGGUGUUGGAGCGCAACCUCGAGAAGACCCUGGAGGCCCUUCCCCUCUGCUGGAAGGUACGCCGAUUCGGCAACUGAGGGCGCGCACCACCAGUGUACACACUUGAACAAGGCAGAUGUGCGAGUGUGGGCGUGCUUGCAUCCGUGCUUCUGUCGGGGCUCGAGAGCUGCCGGUAGAGGAGCUGAGCGGCGACCACACUUGUGUGAGCAUGUUAAUGUCUUCGCGGCGUAAGCGAAGCCGCUGACGCCGGUGCAGGGAGGCGGUGGGGAGUGUGUGUGUGCGUGUGCGGCGGCCGCUCUCUGGGUGUGUUCCAUGCUACAGCGCAUGAUCUGAUGGCGUGCAUCCCAGUGGGGGAGGGAGGUGGUGGUGGGGGGCGCCUGUGCCUUGGCGUGUGCAGGACCCCCCCCCCCCCCCCCCCCACAUCUCCCGCGUCAUCCGGGCCUUUCCACGUUAACUUUGUUUCUUCUUUCUUUUCGCGCUAACGCCUUGCAACGACUAAAAAAAAACGGCAGAGAGUGCGUGUGAUCGAAGGACGUCGAUGGUGGCGAUGCCGCCGAUGACGCCUGCGUGAGCGCAUUUCUUUUCGCUCUCCCUCACCCUAUAAACGAAGCCGACGAAAAAAUCGGGCCGCGCUGCCCUUGGUGCCAUGCGCGCGCCGUGCAUGCGGGCCAAUGCACACACACCCGCACAGGGGUAUGUACACACAGACACACAUAUGCAUAUGCGUGUAGAUGACUGGCGCAGUUGAAGGGCUGUAGCGGUGGUGGUAUGGGCCCCUUACAAUAGGGGCACAUACACCGUGGCGGCGGGAAGAAGGGGGGCAGAGGUAGUGAGAAAGAACAUGAGAGCUGUGCAGGUGGGAGGGGAGAGUGUGGCGAGGCUUGGCAGCUGAUCCACCUUUCCCCUCGUUUUGCUCUUCUUUCCUCUGUGCGUGUGCGCAACCUGUUCCGUCCCCAUCUCGCUCGAAAGGAGGCAUCCUGGUGUGCAGUGCCUUCCGUGCAGCCCCCUCUCAACCCACACACCCCCUGCUCACCUUCGAGGGAGUUUGCAUACACGCACGCACACACUCGAAGCGGUAAAUAUGGCCAGAGUGAGGGGGGGGGGGGCGGACACAACGGUUUGCUCAGCCCUCUGCAGUCCUUCCCCCCUUCCUCUCCUCAGCACGCCUCUGCUUUCUACGCCGCCGUAUGCUCUGGUUGCUUCCCAUCUUGUUUUCUCUUUUAUGCUGCUAUUACAACCUCGGCCGCUACCCUCUGCUCCCGUUCCGAUCUUCUCUCCUUCCAUGCACAACGAUGUCCACCUCACACCUGUAUGCGCGCACGCGUGAUGGCUAG
rnacentral:misc_RNA from 1 species